rnacentral:rRNA from 1 species
UCCAGGCAAAUCCGGAUAAUCAAGGCUGAGGUGUGAUGACGAGGCACUACGGUGCUGAAGUAACAAAUGCCCUGCUUCCAGGAAAAGCCUCUAAGCAUCAGGUAACAUCAAAUCGUACCCCAAACCGACACAGGUGGUCAGGUAGAGAAUACCAAGGCGCUUGAGAGAACUCGGGUGAAGGAACUAGGCAAAAUGGUGCCGUAACUUCGGGAGAAGGCACGCUGGUGUGUAGGUGAAGUCCCUGCGGAUGGAGCUGAGACCAGUCGAAGAUACCAGCUGGCUGCAACUGUUUAUUAAAAACACAGCACUGUGCAAACACGAAAGUGGACGUAUACGGUGUGACGCCUGCCCGGUGCCGGAAGGUUAAUUGAUGGGGUUAUCCGUAAGGAGAAGCUCUUGAUCGAAGCCCCGGUAAACGGCGGCCGUAACUAUAACGGUCCUAAGGUAGCGAAAUUCCUUGUCGGGUAAGUUCCGACCUGCACGAAUGGCGUAAUGAUGGCCAGGCUGUCUCCACCCGAGACUCAGUGAAAUUGAACUCGCUGUGAAGAUGCAGUGUACCCGCGGCAAGACGGAAAGACCCCGUGAACCUUUACUAUAGCUUGACACUGAACAUUGAGCCUUGAUGUGUAGGAUAGGUGGGAGGCUUUGAAGCGUGGACGCCAGUCUGCGUGGAGCCAACCUUGAAAUACCACCCUUUAAUGUUUGAUGUUCUAACGUUGGCCCCUGACCGGGGUUGCGGACAGUGUCUGGUGGGUAGUUUGACUGGGGCGGUCUCCUCCCAAAGCGUAACGGAGGAGCACGAAGGUUAGCUAAUCCUGGUCGGACAUCAGGAGGUUAGUGCAAUGGCAUAAGCUAGCUUGACUGCGAGCGUGACGGCGCGAGCAGGUGCGAAAGCAGGUCAUAGUGAUCCGGUGGUUCUGAAUGGAAGGGCCAUCGCUCAACGGAUAAAAGGUACUCCGGGGAUAACAGGCUGAUACCGCCCAAGAGUUCAUAUCGACGGCGGUGUUUGGCACCUCGAUGUCGGCUCAUCACAUCCUGGGGCUGAAGUAGGUCCCAAGGGUAUGGCUGUUCGCCAUUUAAAGUGGUACGCGAGCUGGGUUUAGAACGUCGUGAGACAGUUCGGUCCCUAUCUGCCGUGGGCGCUGGAGAAUUGAGGGGGGCUGCUCCUAGUACGAGAGGACCGGAGUGGACGCAUCACUGGUGUUCGGGUUGUCAUGCCAAUGGCACUGCCCGGUAGCUAAAUGCGGAAGAGAUAAGUGCUGAAAGCAUCUAAGCACGAAACUUGCCCCGAGAUGAGUUCUCCCUGAGACUAUAAGUCUCCUGAAGGAACGUUGAAGACGACGACGUUGAUAGGCCGGGUGUGUAAGCGCAGCGAUGCGUUGAGCUAACCGGUACUAAUGAACCGUGAGGCUUAACCUUACAACGCCGAAG